AAUCCUGUCUCCGUCACUGCUUCUGCUUUUGCUGUUGUUGGCAAGCGUAGAAUGAGGGACUAAUAGCGCGUUUGUUUAAUCUUUAGGUUAAAGAAUCUUUACAUUAUCAGAGUACUUUUCACAUGUUGUAGUCGAUAAUCUCCCUUAUUCUUCAUGUUAGUAGUCCCAUUUUAUGUGAACGGUUAUGUCAUUUGAUAGUUACCUUGGUGAAAAUCUUGUCUUCGAUACUGUUUUUACUGUUUUUACUGUUGUUGCAAACUUAGAAUGAGGGACUAAUAGCACAUUUGUUUAGUCUUUAGAUUGAAGAAUCUUUACAGUAUUAGUGUAUUUUCACAUGUUGUAGUCGAUAACCUCCCUUAUUCUUCAUGUUAGUAGUCGCAUUUUUUAUGAACGGGGUAUGUCAUUUUAUAGUUACCUUGGUGAAAAUUCUGUCUCCGCUACUGUGUUUACUGUUGUUGCAAACUUAGAAUGAGGGGCUAAUAGUGCAUUUGUUUAGUCUUUAGAUUGAAGAAUCUUUACAGUAUUAGUGUAUUUUCCCAUGUUGUAGUCGAUAACCUCCCUUAUUCUUCAUGUUAGUAGUCGCAUUUUUUAUGACCGGGGUAUGUCAUUUGAUAGUUACCUUAGUGAAAAUCUUGUCUCUGCCACUGCUGUUAUGGUUGUCGCAAACUUAAAAUGAGGGACUAAUAGCGCAUUUGUUUAGUCUUUAGAUUGAAGAAUCUUUACAGUAUUAGUGUAUUUUCCCAUGUUGUAGUCGAUAACCUCCCUUAUUCUUCAUGUUAGUAGUCGCAUUUUUUAUGACCGGGGUAUGUCAUUUGAUAGUUACCUUAGUGAAAAUCUUGUCUCUGCCACUGCUGUUAUGGUUGUCGCAAACUUAAAAUGAGGGACUAAUAGCGCAUUUGUUUAGUCUUUAGAUUGAAGAAUCUUUACAGUAUUAGUGUAUUUUCCCAUGUUGUAGUCGAUAACCUCCCUUAUUCUUCAUGUUAGUAGUCGCAUUUUUUAUGACCGGGGUAUGUCAUUUGAUAGUUACCUUAGUGAAAAUCUUGUCUCUGCCACUGCUGUUAUGGUUGUCGCAAACUUAAAAUGAGGGACUAAUAGCGCAUUUGUUUAGUCUUUAGAUUGAAGAAUCUUUACAUUGUCAGAGUACUUUUCACAUGUUGUAGUCGAUAACCUCCCUUAUUCUUCAUGUUAGUAGUCGCAUUUUUUAUGAACGGUAUGUCAUUUGAUAGUUACCUUAGUGAAAAUCUUGUCUCUGCCACUGCUGUUAUGGUUGUUGCAAACUUAAAAUGAG
rnacentral:lncRNA from 1 species